UACAGAGGGUGCGAGCGUUAAUCGGAAUUACUGGGCGUAAAGCGCGCGUAGGCGGCUUUGCAAGUCGGGUGUGAAAUCCCCAGGCUUAACCUGGGAACUGCAUCCGAUACUGGAUGGCUUGAAUCCGGGAGAGGGAUGCAGAAUUCCAGGUGUAGCGGUGAAAUGCGUAGAUAUCUGGAGGAAUACCGGUGGCGAAGGCGGCAUCCUGGACCGGCAUUGACGCUGAGGGAGCGAAAGCCAGGGGAGCAAACGGG
rnacentral:rRNA from 1 species